rnacentral:rRNA from 1 species
GUGAGGAAUAUUGCGCAAUGGAGGCAACUCUGACGCAGUCAUGCCGCGUGCAGGAAGAAGGCGCUACGCGUUGUAAACUGCUUUUAACCGGGAAGAAACCCCAGGACGUGUCCUGGGUUGACGGUACCGGAGGAAUAAGCACCGGCUAACUUCGUGCCAGCAGCCGCGGUAAUACGAAGGGUGCAAGCGUUAUCCGGAUUCAUUGGGUUUAAAGGGUGCGUAGGCGGAGCGUUAAGUCAGUGGUGAAAUCCUGCAGCUUAACUGUAGACUUGCCAUUGAUACUGGCGCUCUUGAGUGCGCUUGAAGUGGGCGGAAUGUGCCGUGUAGCGGUGAAAUGCUUAGAUAUGGCACAGAACACCAAUUGCGAAGGCAGCUCACUAAGGCGAUACUGACGCUGAGGCACGAAAGCGUGGGGAUCGAACAGGAUUAGAAACCCUAGUAGUCC